rnacentral:rRNA from 1 species
AACGAACGCUGGCGGCGUGCCUAACACAUGCAAGUCGAGCGCGAAUGGAGCAAUCCUAGUAGAGCGGCGCACGGGUGCGUAACACGUGGGUAAUCUGCCUCAAAGAUCGGAAUAACCUGCCGAAAGGCUGGCUAAUACCGGAUAAGCCUACGGGCUCCUCGGAGCCUGAAGGAAAAGGUGGCCUCUGUACACAAGCUAUCACUUUGAGAUGAGCCCGCGGCCCAUCAGCUAGUUGGCGGGGUAAUGGCCCACCAAGGCAACGACGGGUAGCUGGUCUGAGAGGACGAUCAGCCACACUGGAACUGAGACACGGUCCAGACUCCUACGGGAGGCAGCAGUGGGGUAAUUUUGCACAAUGGGCGAAAGCCUGAUGCAGCAACGCCGUGUGUGUGAUGAA